GCUCACUGUGGUUGAUGCGAAAAGCCCCAAACUGUCUUACAAAAAGCACGAAAUGUACUUACAGAUUAGAAAACAAGGAAGACAUCCGUCCAUCCAGCGAGGUGUAGCUUCAGCCUAACUGAACACAAAUCCCUAAGGGUUUGGAGGGGACUUGAAGUCGGUGAUGGCUUGAAUCCGCCUCCACGGGUUCCUGGUUUCUCUGCUGUCAAUGAAGCCCUCAGUGUUUCUCCUGUAACACUGUCUCUUGGCCAACGAAAGUACAAUUUUCAAACCAC